GCAAGUCGAACGGCAGCAUGUUUUUCUUCGGAGAAAUGAUGGCGAGUGGCGGACGGGUGAGUAACGCGUAGGAAUCUGCCCAGCAGCGGGGGACAACUCCGGGAAACCGGAGCUAAUACCGCAUACGCCCUACGGGGGAAAGGUGGCCUCUUCAUGAAAGCUAUCACUGUUGGAUGAGCCUACGUAAGAUUAGCUAGUUGGUAGGGUAAAGGCCUACCAAGGCGACGAUCAGUAGCUGGUCUGAGAGGACGAUC
rnacentral:rRNA from 1 species